rnacentral:rRNA from 1 species
AUCAACUUUCGAUUGGUAGGAUAGAGGCCUACCAUGGUGGUAACGGGUAACGGGGUGUUAGGGCACGACACCAGAGAGGGAGCCUGAGAAACGGCUACCACAUCUAAGGAUGGCAGCAGGCGCGCAAAUUACCCAAUCCCGACACGGGGAGGUAGUGACAAUAAAUAACAAUACGGGGUUCUUUAGGAUCUCGUAAUUGGAAUGAGUACAAUUUAAAUCUCUUAACGAGGAACAAUUGGAGGGCAAGUCUGGUGCCAGCAGCCGCGGUAAUUCCAGCUCCAAUAGCGUAUAUUAAAGUUGUUGCAGUUAAAAAGCUCGUAGUUGAAUUUCGGGGUUAGUAGGUUGGUCAUGCCUCUGGUAUGUACUGAUCUCACUGAUUCCUCCUUCCUUAUGAACCGUAAUGCCAUUAAUUUGGUGUUGCGGGGAAUUUGGACUGUUACCUUGAAAAAAUUAGAGUGUUUAAAGCAGGCUAACGCUUGAAUACAUUAGCAUGGAAUAAUGAAAUAGGACGUUCGAUCUUAUUUUGUUGGUUUCUAGGAUUGACGUAAUGAUUAAUAGGGAUAGUUGGGGGCAUUAGUAUUCAAUUGUCAGAGGUGAAAUUCUUGGAUUUAUUGAAGACUAACUACUGCGAAAGCAUUUGCCAAGGAUGUUUUCAUUAAUCAAGAACGAAAGUUAGGGGAUCGAAGACGAUCAGAUACCGUCGUAGUCUUAACCAUAAACUAUGCCGACUAGGGAUCGGAUGAUGUUAAUUUUUUAAUGACUCAUUCGGCGCCUUACGGGAAACCAAAGUGUUUGGGUUC